rnacentral:rRNA from 1 species
CCUACGGGUGGCAGCAGUGAGGAAUAUUGGUCAAUGGACGAGAGUCUGAACCAGCCAAGUAGCGUGAAGGAUGACUGCCCUAUGGGUUGUAAACUUCUUUUAUCUGGGAAUAAAAUGCUCCACGUGUGGGGUUCUGUAUGUACCCUAUGAAUAAGGAUCGGCUAACUCCGUGCCAGCAGCCGCGGUAAUACGGAGGAUCCGAGCGUUAUCCGGGUUUAUUGGGUUUAAAGGGAGCGUAGGUGGAAUGUUAAGUCAGUUGUGAACGUUUGCGGCUCAACCGUAAAAGUGCAGUUGAAACUGGCAGUCUUGAGUGCAGUAGAGGUGUGCGGAAUUCGUGGUGUAGCGGUGAAAUGCUUAGAUAUCACGAAGAACUCCGAUUGCGAAGGCAGCUCACUGGACUGCAACUGACACUGAGGCUCGAAAGUGUGGGUAUCAAACAGGAUUAGAUACCCGUGUAGUC